CUGUGUGUGGCUGGUGACAGUGCAGCUGCUGAGACAUGCUGAUUGUUCAGCCUCAAAGUAAAGUUUUGACGCACCCUAA